AGUGAACGCUGGCGGUAGGCCUAACACAUGCAAGUCGAACGGCAGCACAGUAAGAGCUUGCUCUUACGGGUGGCGAGUGGCGGACGGGUGAGGAAUACAUCGGAAUCUACUUUUUCGUGGGGGAUAACGUAGGGAAACUUACGCUAAUACCGCAUACGACCUACGGGUGAAAGCAGGGGAUCUUCGGACCUUGCGCGAUUGAAUGAGCCGAUGUCGGAUUAGCUAGUUGGCGGGGUAAAGGCCCACCAAGGCGACGAGCCGUAGCUGGGCUGAGAGGAUGAGCAGCGACGCUGGGACUGAGACACGGCCCAGACUCGGAGGGGAGGCAGGAGGGGGUAAUACUGGACAAGGGGCGCAAGACUGAGCAACCCAGGCCGCGGGAGUGCUGAAGGCGUGAGGGAAGGAAAGCUCUUUGGUACGGGAAGAUAAUGACUGUACCGGAAGAAUAAGCCCCGGCUAACUUCGUG
rnacentral:rRNA from 1 species